GGGCCCGCACAAGCGGUGGAGCAUGUGGUUUAAUUCGAUGCAACGCGAAGAACCUUACCAGGGUUUGACAUCCUCUGACAUACAUGGAAACAUGUACUCGUCCUUCGGGGCGCAGGGAGACAGGUGGUGCAUGGCUGUCGUCAGCUCGUGUCGUGAGAUGUUGGGUUAAGUCCCGCAACGAGCGCAACCCUUGUCCUAAGUUGCCAGCGAGUAAAGUCGGGAACUUUUAGGAGACCGCCGGCGACAAGCCGGAGGAAGGUGGGGAUGACGUCAAGUCAUCAUGCCCUUUAUGCCCUGGGCGACACACGUGCUACAAUGGCCGGUACAGAGGGCGGCGAAAGCGCGAGCUGGAGCGAAUCCCCCAAAACCGGUCCCAGUUCGGAUCGCAGGCUGCAACUCGCCUGCGUGAAGUAGGAAUCGCUAGUAAUCACGGGUCAGCAUACCGUGGUGAAUACGUUCCCGGGCCUU
rnacentral:rRNA from 1 species